AAGUCGUAACAAGGUUUCCGUAGGUGAACCUGCGGAAGGAUCAUUACUGAGACCGGGUGCUUCGGCGCCCGACCUUCAACCCUAUGUUUAAACACCUUGUUUCUUUGGCGGCAUUUGUCGCCAGAAGCAAUCUCAAAUUCUUUAUUAAUGUAUCUUCUGAAUCAAAUUUAAAUAAAUUAAAACUUUCAACAACGGAUCUCUUGGUUCUG
rnacentral:misc_RNA from 1 species